GUCGACGAUACUUUCCAGCUUGCUGGGGAGGAAAGUGGCGCACGGGUGCGUAACGCGUAUGCAACCUACCUUAAUCAGGGGGAUAGCCCGAAGAAAUUCGGAUUAACACCGCAUAAAAACACAGGAUAGCAUUAUCCAAUGUUCAAAUAUUUAUAGGAUUAAGAUGGGCAUGCGUGUCAUUAGCUAGUUGGCGGGGUAACGGCCCACCAAGGCGACGAUGACUAGGGGAUCUGAGAGGAUGACCCCCCACACUGGUACUGAGACACGGACCAGACUCCUACGGGAGGCAGCAGUAAGGAAUAUUGGUCAAUGGAGGCAACUCUGAACCAGCCAUGCCGCGUGCAGGAAGACAGCCCUCUGGGUCGUAAACUGCUUUUAUUCGGGAAUAAACCUUAUUACGUGUAAUAAGCUGAAUGUACCGAAGGAAUAAGGAUCGGCUAACUCCGUGCCAGCAGCCGCGGUAAUACGGAGGAUCCAAGCGUUAUCCGGAUUUAUUGGGUUUAAAGGGUGCGUAGGCGGCUUAUUAAGUCAGGGGUGAAAGACGGUGGCUCAACCAUCGCAGUGCCCUUGAUACUGAUGAGCUUGAAUACACUAGAGGUAGGCGGAAUGUGACAAGUAGCGGUGAAAUGCAUAGAUAUGUCACAGAACACCGAUUGCGAAGGCAGCUUACUAUGGUGUGAUUGACGCUGAGGCACGAAAGCGUGGGGAUCAAACAGGAUUAGAUACCCUGGUAGUCCACGCCCUAAACGAUGAAUACUCGCUGUUAGCGAUAUACAGUUAGCGGCUAAGCGAAAGCGUUAAGUAUUCCACCUGGGGAGUACGCCCGCAGGGUGAAACUCAAAUGAAAUUGA
rnacentral:rRNA from 1 species